rfam:Branchiostoma floridae genomic scaffold BRAFLscaffold_216, whole genome shotgun sequence.
AGCAGCGUGGCGCAGCGGAAGCGUGCUGGGCCCAUAACCCAGAGGUCGGUGGAUCGAAACCACCCGCUGCUA